ACAAACGUUUGUCAACUAUUAUUGCAAUAUUUAAAAUAUUUUGUUUAAUAUGUUGUUCAGUUUUACUUAAAAGGUUAUGCUACUUCGGUUGAUUAGGCUGUUGUUCAUUACAUGAUAUAUUAAUUGUAAUAAGCUAGGUGUUUAUAAAUUUGUUCAAGCUUGACGCCUUUAUUUUCUAACAAAUAUAUCUGAAAUUCCCACAAGGAUUUCAACAUCAUAUCUGAGAAAAAAAAAAAACUUGCGUUUACUUGUGUUUAAAUUCAAACUCACUGACUAAACACGAUUGGUUCCAGAGCCAUUGAAUUGAUUGGUGAUUGGUUCAUAUGAUAAUGAGCUCGCACCAGAGAGCUUCCUAUAUAAAAUACGAUGUGCUUGCAAAUGUCUCUUGAAUGUGAAUAUAAGUCUAAAUUUAAACAGUAUUAUAUAGAGCGAUUGUGUCUCUUUAGGGCGCUUGGAGGAAACCACGCAAUUCAUAAGGAUUACUUUGGCAAUGUUUUUUUUUUUUUUUGCGAUUUCAACUUUUUGAAACGUGAACAACCUUCUUUCAUCGGAGGGACAUAAAUCUCUCAGAUUUCAUUAAAAUAUCUCAGCUUUUCUUUCAAAGAUGAACGAAAGUCUCAGAUAGUUUGGAGCAUCUUAAGGGUGAGUGAUGACAGAAUUCAAAUUGAAUUCAAUUGUUUUGGUGGAACUAUGAAAUUAAUUAGAAAAUAUAGCGGUAUGUUCUUAUUUUUACCAGCUGCUGCAAGUGUGUAUGGAGUCUGGCUUUUGGAAUGUCACUGUGACUUCAGAUAAGAACAAAGAUUAAAUUGUAAGAAGGGUUGCUUAUAAGAGAACAUACAGUACAUCUGAAACUGCUGAGGCUGAUCAGCUGCUAUAGAAGACAAGCUGAAAUAUGAGUGCAGAGACAAGCAAAGGAAUACUGCAAGGCUCUUGUGCAAAAUAUUUUAUGCCAGGACGACUAGGCUGUGCCCAGGUCUCCGGAACCUGCGACGACGCUCAGCUCCAUCGGCCCUCCCUCUGAGCCUUCGGAUCCACCAGCUCUGUCUCCAUUGGUCGGCCCCCAGUUGUCGGCAGCCACACCAUCUACAUCUUGGCUCCUCCCUCCCUCGAUUCCGCCGUGUGUUGUCAGCACUGGGAUGCUCUGGGUCUGUGCCUCCAUUCCUCCCUAUUCUGUUGCUUGAACUUUAUCAUCUUCAGUCUUUGCACACACACAGCUAUUCACUUCUGCACUUUAUUUUUCAGUACAUUUUUAUGUAUUUGUUUUUUCUUCAUUGCAUUGUAAUUUUUAUUUAUUCAUUGAUGUAAAAUUCUGUACUUUUUAGUAAGACCGGUAUAACUGAAAUGUUCUACAAAUGGACAAGAUAGCUCUGACAUAGCAUUUUAGUCUUUUUUUAUUUAUUAUGUUUUUUGUAUAAUGUAUUAAAAUGUACUUGAGUAUGUUUGUAGUAAUACAAAUAUACUAUAAACAUACUUGUAUUUCAAGUGCAUUUUUAAUACAUUUAAUAAUAUGUUUUGUUUUGUUUUGUUUUUCACCAAAGUAUACUGUAUAUGCUGCUGUACUUUUUUUAAUGUACUUUAUGAAUAUUUGUA